UUUGAUUGAUUGAUUGAUUGAAAAUAUAAUAAUGUAUGACAAUUUCAAUUUAAUCUUCUAGAAAAGAGUAAUAAUAAUUUUAAAAAAUAUAAUAAUACAAAUGGCACGAUGUAAUAUUGCGUUCAUACUCGAAGCCAGAUGGCGCCCUCUCUUGCAGUAGCCUGUACGCGAUGUCCCAACUCGUUCAUAGAGGUAGACUCUCCCGCAAAUAUCCUCGACCUCGUGUAGAAAUUCUCUGGCUAAAACGCUAAAACCAUGACUAAAACAUGCAGCAGUCGUGACCAUGAUCGUGAAGAUAUUAUCUUGUUCUGCAAACCAUCUCGGAGGAGGACUACUAGGCCGGACUUUAAAGGAGAAAAUUGAACCCAUGAUGCAGAAUCCUGAUAAAAACAUCGACAUGAUGAGAGACGUUGUCCUCCGUUGUUUGAAUUGUUAUCUGGGUGAAAAAGCGGAUGACCUAAUCCAAGAGUACAAUUGUGACAAUGGAGAUAUCCUGCAGCACAUAAUGAAAAUUGCCAUCUGCAAGAGGGAUUAUCAGGAGGAUUUCAGCAUCAUCUUGGAGGAGGUGCAAGUCAUGGCUGGCUUGGAAAAUCUGGCAAGAGCCUGUGCUGUUCUUCUUGGACUCACAUAUGCACUAAACCUCACCUACCCGAAAGAACUGAGGCACACUUUUGAGGCCUUUCAGAAGCUCUUCUUGGAACUGGAUGUUUGCAAGUUUUCACCAAAAAUACUAACACUUAAAAACAAACUCAUGACUUAGAUUGAGACAAUGCAUUAUUACCAAGUUCUGGUGAAAAGUAAACUGCAUUGAUUGAUGAACGUUUAAUAUUGUUCUACAUACAAGCUUUCAGCAAGUACAAAUGUUUUACAAAGUCUUACUACAAGUUAUUCUCAAGUUUUAGUCCAUAAUGUGACUUUUCUAACAGAAAUAUGUUGCAUACAAA